rnacentral:rRNA from 1 species
UACGAAGGGGGCUAGCGUUGCUCGGAAUCACUGGGCGUAAAGCGCACGUAGGCGGCUUUCUAAGUCAGGGGUGAAAUCCUGGAGCUCAACUCCAGAACUGCCUUUGAUACUGGAAAGCUUGAGUUCGGGAGAGGUGAGUGGAACUGCGAGUGUAGAGUUGAAAUUCGUAGAUAUUCGCAAGAACACCAGUGGCGAAGGCGGCUCACUGGCCCGAUACUGACGCUGAGGUGCGAAAGCGUGGGGAGCAAACAGG